rnacentral:lncRNA from 1 species
GCCACCGUGUCGGAGGCGAGGCGAGGAAGGGAGCUGGAAUAACAAAGGCAAGUUGGGGAGAGCGCAAGGGGGCGCAGCCCCGGCCGGGCUGCGGGGGGAGCCUUGCACGGCCGGGGCUUCGGAGGCUGCAGGGUCGGGGGCGCGGGGAGCCGGAGGUGGGGGAGGAAGGGUGGGGGGAGAGGGGCGGGGCUGAGGCGUGACGUCAGAGAACAAUGACACCGCCGGGGGGCGGGCACCCGGAGGCGGCCCAGGCGGGGGUCUCCCCCGGGGCCUGGGGCGGGCCGAAGAUGUCCAGGCCUGGCCGGAGCCGCCUCCUGAUUGACGAGGCCCGCAUGGGAGUGCGGACGUGCAGCACAGAUUUGCGGGUCUCCUGGGCCUCUUGGGCGGUGAUCAGCGCGGACCUUGGGCCAACCGGGGAAGCAGGCCGGAGCACUACCCCCCACCCCCAUUUUAGAACAUCCUUCUGAGGGCUUCGCUGACCUCGGCUUGAACUCCUUCAGAGCCGGAGAGAUCACUCCUUCCACCACCGAGGGAGAGGAGGCAAAAUGAAUUUGCCAGCUUUGAAUUCAUUCUCAAGGCUCCGCUAGUCUCACAGCCAGUGAACUCAGUCUGGAAUUCCUGAAAGCUCAGAAAACUGCUGCUUAGGUCCACCCGGGCGUGGGGGACGGGGUGUGUGGGGGCGCAGGCGGCGGAGUGGGGGCGUUAUUUUAUUUUCCCCAGGGGAAAUUCUGCCUCCCUAUGCCAUUGGGUGCAAGAAAAGGCACUCCUUUGGGGCCUCAGUCUUCCUACCUGUCACAUGGACAUGGACUGUGAUGACUGCUGCUCUUCCACCCCCGCCCUCCCUGUAGGUGGCAGCUGAGCAUCCCUGGAGAGGGUGGGUGGUAUGAAAGCACUUCCAGACCUCUAGGGACACCAGGGAGUCAUGGUCCCAGCACAUUGCUGUGUGAUUGAGCCCCUCCUCAGCCUGUGGGUGGCCUAAGUUCACAGGUAGGUACACCAGGGCCACCUGAGAAACCUCCGAAGGUAGGAAUUAAGCUUGCAGAACGGUGGCUGCAGCCACAGCUGUCCCACUCCCAGCAAUCCACAGCAUUGCAGCAGUGGCAGCAGCCACCCCAUACCCAGGUCCAAAAUCCCAAAAGAGAGUUUCUGGGUAUUUAAGGAUUUGGGAUGUGAUAAUCCAGCCCAGCCCACAAUUAGACCAGUUCUUGUUGCCUUAAUGACCAGCUAGGUCUGGACGCCCAGCCCUCUCAACCUUUCUGUCCAGAUUCCUCAAUAAGUAUCCAGGGCCUGCCCACUUCCAGGAAUUGGGGGAUGCAGGUGACCUCGGAGGUGACCACUCAUGUUCAAAGUCUCCUGUCCAGAAGCUCCACCCCCUACCCCACAUCCCAGCCCCCUACUCUCCCACCAGUAUUUACAUCUGAAACCCAGGAAGUGGCUGCAGAGGGCAGAGGAGCCAAGUAGGCUCAACUUAGUAGCAUGGAACCAGGGAUCAUUUCAACCCUCCCCUUCUGUGCAAGCAUGGCAGCAAGUCAGAAAGCCCACCAGGGUCCUGGGUCUUCCCUAGGCUCCAGUCCUUGGGUCUCUGAGGCCCUUGCUCUCUUUGUUCAUCUUCCAGGGAGGUAAUGGGGUAGAUUGGAUACCUCUGGGGUCUUGGAAGAAGCUAUGACUUAUUUACUGUCUACUAUGUGGUGAGUACUGUGGUGGGUCCUCCUAGGUAUUGAGAAUUCAGUUCCCUGAUUGAACUGUCACAUUGUCUUAAGUUAGGUGCCGCUACCAUCCCCCUUUCAGAGGAAACUCAACUGUGAAUGACUUGCCCAAGAUUGGUCAGGAUGGGAACUCGGGCCCCCAUGAACAGAGUUUCCUGUUGUCCCCUCAGCCCUGGCUCUGUUCAUCCAUAGACUGUGUAGCCCCAAGCAAGCUGCUUUCCCCCUCUGAGCCCCUGUAAGGUCCAUGGUGCCAUCAGGACUCACUGGGAACUGUGUGUCCAACAACCUCACCCCCAAAGUCUCAGCCUCACUGGGCCUGGAGAUCUGCUGGUGAGACAAGAGAGGACAGUGCCAUCACUUCCUCGUGGCCCAGAGCUGGAAGAUGCAUCCUGCUCAGCCCCUGCAGGCCCAGAAGUCACCUGGCUCCACUAGGAGGGCAUGGGCAGUGUGGGGCCGCCAGGUUGUACCAACCUUCAGAGCACACUCAAGUGCUGUUAAUUUCCCUGUCCUGUGGGAGCCACCAGCAGAUUGGGGAGAGGACCAUUGCUGGGGCCUGGGCCCAGGUUUCAGGAGGCAGAAAAUCUGGAGGCCAGCAGGAUGGUGGGGGUGGGAGGCUUGAGGUCCCUGAGGGAAGCAAAGGACUUGUGUAGGGUGCGGCGAGUAUGGCCUCCUAGGCUGGGCUGGGAUGGGGGCGGGUACACAGUGGGGAUUCCCACCUGUCCAGGAGCUGCCUUCUCUGUCCCCACUCUCCACCUCUCACUUCUGGAACUUAAGGGAGCCAGGGAACAUCUAAAAUUGAGACUAGAGAGGUGGGAAGAAAAUCUCAUUCAUUGAGUACUUACUGUAUGCCACGCACUUUGGAAACAUUCGUUGUAUUCUCUCCACAAGCCAGGUGUCAUUCCCUGCUAAGGGAAGAGGCUCAGAGAGGUUAAGUGACCUGCUCAAGAUCUCAUAGCUGGCUGAGCAUGGUGGCUCAUGCCUGUAAUCUGUGCACUUUAGGAGGCCAAGGCAGGGUAGAUCACUUGAGCUCAGGAGUUCGAGACCAGCCUGGGCAACAUAGCAAGACCUUGCCUCUACAAAAAAUACAAAAAUUAACCAGGCAUGGUGGCACAUACCUGUAGUCCCAGCUAUUUGGGAAGCUGAGGUCGGAGGAUCACUUGAUCCUGGGAGGCUGAGGCUGUAGUGAGCCAUGAUUGUGCCACUGCACUCCAGACUGGGCAACAGGGCAUGACCCUGUCUCAUAAAAACGAAACAAAACAAUAAAGAUCUCAGAGCUGCUAAGUGGGUGGAGCCGAGAUUGGGCUCCAGGUUGGGCUGGGCCUUGAGGUUGAGAAUAGGGACUUGCCCUCAUCUCACUGCCAGGUUAUGGUGCAGAUAAGGUAACCUACCAGGUACUUUGGGGUGAAGUAAAGACUCUCACCCACUUGCCAGGGAAUGACCAGGGUGCCUCCCAUGGCAGUGAGGUAAUGGAGAUUACAUUUAGAGUUCACCCCUUGGUGGAUACAGGAAGCAUUUGGGCCCUGCCCAGCUCUGAGCCCUGUGCCUCUAAGAGGUGAGUGGUUGGGUCAAGCAGGGAAGAUCUAUGUCCUUCAGCGAAUUAGGCUCCCCUGCUCUGCCUCCCCCUCAUUUCCAAUCAGAUGGCCCCUCCAUUCUCUGAGCCCACACCUUCCCAUCCUCCAAGGCUUGACUCUCCAAUGUCCUUCCCUCAAGCCAGCCGUCUUCUCACUUUCUACCAUGGAGUUCUGCCCUAUGGUUCGAGACCCAGUUCAACCACCAACCCCUUCUUCAGAUGGGAGUCACAAGAGAAUAGGCUGGGAGCCUGCCUCAGGAGCCGGGACACCUAUGUGCCCAGCCCGCCAUUGCCUGACUUGCUGUGUGGCCUGAGCACAUCACAAACUCUCCCUGUGCCUGUUCCCCAUCUGCCAAGUGAGAGAGUGUGGGAUAUCCACCAGCACUUUUGCCUCUGAUUGUCCUAAGAUUCUGUAGGUCUGAGCCUUUAACCCUUGGACUGAGCUACAGUUCACUUUAGAGUUUGAGGGCGGCCCUGCUUUAGGGAGGGCUUUCAGAGGGGGCCAUUUAGUGGAGUAGGGACAAGAAAAUACCUGGAGGGAGCUGCUCAGAACUGUGACUAUCUAGGACUGUGAAUAGGUAAUGACCCUAACGCCUCCCUUCAUGAGGCACCUCUCACCCUCUGAGCCUCACAACAGCCCUUUUGUGGGUGACUAAGCUGAGCCCCAAAAGGAGGUGAUGGCUUUCCCUGACUGCACCACUGGGAAGCACCAGAGCUGGAACAAGAGCCAGGUCUCAGCCAGGCAUGGUGGCACAUGCCUGUAGUCCCAGCAACUCGGUGGGGGGACAAGAGGGGGUGCAAGAGCCACAUCUCCUCAUGCAGUGUCCCCUCACCUGCGUCAGGGCCCCUCCAGAGGAGCAAGUACAUGCGGCACUGAUGAGGAAGUCUGGGACAAGCGACCUGAGGAGGACCAUGCCUCCCACUUCCUUCCUGAUAGCUCCUGCACCCCGAGAGGGGUGGGGGAAGGUCUCAGAUCCUCAGCAUCUCUCCUCCUUCUGGCUGUGCAGUCCUCCAGCCUCAAGACUCAUGCUUCCUUGCCCUCACCUCAUCCUGUGGCCAUGCAGGGUGACUUCCAGAAUUGCCAGCAUUAUGUACAUACUCUUACCUCUGUGCCAUUGCUCAUGCUCUUCCUACCUCCUGGGACACACCCCUCCCAGUCACCAAGGCCACAUCUGCAACCACUUGCUUGGAAGCCUACCCUGAUACCUCCACCAGAUGUGCCGUCUUCCUUGUCUUAACCCCCAUAUGCUGCUCUCCCAGCCUCCAACAUCAGCAUAACCAUAGGAAUUACUUGUGAAGUUCCUGCUAUGUUCCAGGCAUUGAGUAGCUCAUACACAUGAACUCCUCCCAUCCUCUGAGCUAUUAGUAUUCUCAUUUUACAGAUGAGGAAACUGAGGCACAGGGAGUUUCAUUUCCUAGUAUGACACCUCACAGGCUAGGGAGGUAUUGUGUUACAUGGCCCUCUUCUGUCAAGGCUGCAGGUCAUAGGAUGGCUCACUGCUACAUCCCAUCACCCAGUGCAAGGCCUUGGGGGCUGACAGGCCAUCCGGAGCAGGGGAGGUAUAGAGGCCCACAGGAUGGAGGAUGACCAGAACCAGCCCUCUGGGGGCUCACAGUCUCUCAGGAAGGACUGCCCACACCAAAUGCCAUUCUUUUUUUUUUUUUUUUUUCUUGAGACAGAGUUUUGCUCUGUCGCCCAGGCUGGAGUGUGCAGUGGUGAGAUCUCGGCUCACUGCAAGCUCCGCCUCCCAGGUUCACACCAUUCUCCUGCCUCAGCCUCCCGAGUAGCUGGGACUAUGCCACCAUACCCGGCUAAUUUUUUGUGUUUUUAGUAGAGAUGGGGUUUCACCAUGUUAACCAGGAUGGUCUGCAUCUCCUGACCUCAUUAUCCACCCGCCUUGGCCCCCCAAAGUGCUGGGAUUAUAGGCAUGAGCCACCGCACCCGGCCACCCAAUGCCAUUCUAAGAGUUCGGGGAAGAAGAAGAGUUGGCAUUGAGUGGGUCCUGGAAGGCAAGCUCUGGUGGGGCUGUGGGGAAGCCAGAGUGGGGCAUGGACCUGCCUAAGGUCACACAGCAAGCAAGUAUGAGACAGCAGCAGGGCUGGGACCUGGAGCUCCCAGUGUAUCAUGCCUUCUUGCACCUUGCAGCCAGCUGUGGGGCCCCUGCGACUGUGCUGUUUUCAAGGACACACGGUCCCAGAUGCCUCCACAAUUCUGAGCUGUUCAAUGAGUGGCUCUGGUCCUUCUCCCCCCUCUAUUAAAAUGGAAAAAAGAAAGAAAGAAAGAAAGAAAUCCAGGCAUUGUUCCUGACUGCAGCUGGUGCCAACCAGAAUCCCACUGAACAGAAUGGAGCCGAGAGCCCGGCUGCCCAGGGGCCUGGCUGCUGACACAGGGCCUUUCUAUUUUGCUUUCCACUGGGGGCCCAGGCUGACGGUGCAGCCCCUCCACGGACACCCUCUCCACCUGCCUCCCUGGCCCUGGCUCUGAGCCUCCUGCUGCCUUCACCCUCUUUGCAAAAAUCAGAUGGCACUUGGGGGAGGGUUGGAGGAGCACCCCCACCCCCUGCUUUCCUUCUUCAUCCACUCACAGCCUGGGGUGCGCUGGGCCUCCCUCCCCGCCAGCCUGUCCUCCCACCCUACCAGGAGGGGACUUGGGAUGCUUGUCUGGGAGAGCGACACAAAUCCCUCUUCCAAAAUCGUUUGAAACACUUGUCUGAUUCUAGGACAUAUGAGGAUUUUCCACCCCACCCCCACCUGACUUGGCAGGUGCCAGUCCUCAGCUCACACAUUAAGGCCUCUUGCAAUAGUGAAGGUCUUGUGGGGGAAAGGGGAACAUGAUGAACAGCUCUACAGAGACAAAAACAGUUUUUUAAGUUGCUAGUUUGCCUUCUGCCUUUGGUCUUAGGAGGAAAAAGGACUUCUCCAACUCUCCCUUACCAUCUUCAUUUCAUCCUCUGCUUCCUGCCCCUUUCGUGAGCUGUCUGGUACUCAGACCUCCUCUCCACAGGCUAUUGGCUAGUUUGACCCAGAUUACCCCAAGCAGCAGUUCUAAGAGAGCAGCAUCCUGGCCACUGUCCAGUGUCCACCAGGGACCCUUGGGUUGGCACUGCCACCACAGCCAGCUCUCCUGGCACCCCCUUCCUCCUGUGGACACAGCUCUUUAGUUUGUAAAAAGUACUUGACGUCUCACGCAAGUGCCACAGCAGCCUCAAGAGGCAGGCAGGGAUUGCUAACCCACUUCGUAGAAGAAUAAACUAAGGGUUCAGGAGGCAUAAUGGUUUGGCCAAGGUCAAAGGAGGUGACAGAGUUGGGAUUUGAACCCUGGUCUCUUGAUUCCAUGUCACUAAGCUGCAGUGGGGACUCAGGAAGUGACGGUGUCAGAGGAUGACAUUCCCAGCCCCCACCACCUCCACCCGACCAAAUGCUGCCAGGAGACAGGAUCUCAGACACAUCGAUUCCUUUAAGGAAUAUUUAUUAAAUACUUGCUGUAUGCCAGAUCUCCAACAGUGAACAAAACAGAUUUGGUCCACACUGCUGCAGAGCUUAUAUUCUGAGACAGACACCAGACUUCGUGCAGAAAGAUCCCCCUCUUCCUAGUUGCCCAGCCCAUAUGUCCUAGAAGGAACCGUGAGAUGGGCAGCCAGAGACAUAAGUUCUAGUCCUAGCAUUGCCCCUGACUCUCCAUGUCACCUUGGACCGAGUUUUCCACCUGAGAAAUCCAAGCAUGUGGCCCCUCACACAUUUUCUCAGGUCUCUUCCCUACUCCCAGUCUCUGGGUCUAGUGGUUCAUGAUUUCCCGGCAUGAAUUAUCCUGAUUUAGUUUUUUUUCUUAAACCCGACUUUUCCUAGGCUCUUAGAGCCAGAACAGGGCUUCUGAGAUCAUUUGCUCUGAGCCCUUCACUAAGAAAGAACCCCUUAGCCUCGUUCCUGCCAGGAGGAGACUGUCUUUGCUUGUACUCUUCCAGGGACGGGCUGCUUGCUCCCUCACAUAGCAGACCUCUGCCAGUGGUGUGCUGGUAAAUGUUUAACAGCUGGCUCCCCAAAGUGGGGAGAACCUGGUUUGUAGUAUUUGCCGAUGUCUACGGUGUAAAUACCCCCACCAUGGCCAGUUUCAAGCUGCCGACCAGAGCCAGCUGGCACAGCUGGUUGGUUCCAUCAACCAGCUCGCGCAGUUCCUGAAAAUUUAACAAUCGGCCCUUGUGAGCCAUAUGAACAGGCUCCAACACACCAUUUCCCCUGCCCCGCAGAGAAGUCUUGUCUAGCUUUACUCAUUGGGAAGUUCUUUCUGGUAUUGAGCAAAACAUCUGAUUGUCAGGAACUCUGGCCUGAAAGUCCUGAACUACUUCUCUGGGGUGUCACAGGACAAUGGGGACCCCAUGAAGGCCUUCUCUAAUUGGUGGCAGCUCUUGACUAUGUCUUCCUGUGAGAGGAGCAAGUUCCUGGGCCAAAUGGGGUCAGAGCAUAGCCACCCUCCCAUUCUGCCUUUCUCUCUCCCUCUUCACCUCCCUUCCUUCCUCUCUUUCUUUCACAAAUAUUUCCUGGGCCCCUGUGACAAUGUCAGACACUGCUAGAUACUGUGGAUUCAGCGACCCAUGUCUUAGCUUGCGCAGAGAUGCUGCCCACUCUGUGAAGCCUGUCCUGACCCCCACCCUAGCCCCUCCCGCAGUGGGCAGUCUCCUCCCCUCCCAGAGCCUUUAUCGCCCCUGUUUGGCACUUAUCACUUUCUACCUGGGAUUGCAGCUAUUUGUGUACACGGCUUAUCUCCCUGCCAGACUGAGAGGCAACGUGGGCCUGUUGAAAGAGCGUGGACUUUGGAGCCGCAUGACCUGGCCCUCAAUCCCAACCCUGCGACUCAGAGCUGUGAGCCCUCGGGGAGCUCACAACACCUUUGGGAGCCUCAGUUUCCUUAUCUGUAAAGUGGGGAUGGUGAUAACUACUUCCAAUGUGGUUUUGAGCAACUGGUAGGAUUAGAAAUGUCAACCCCAUUUCCUGCUCCUGUCUGGACUCCCAUCCUCUUGGGGACAGAGAUUGUGUGCAAUACUUCUCUGUAGCCUCCUGGUAAUAAUAACAUAACAAUAUUAAUAACAAUGACCAACACUUACACAGCAAUACCAUACAUAAGGUAAGAGCUUACAUAUGUUAGCUCAUUCAUUCUCACAACCUUGUGGCAUUGGAAGCAUUAUUCCCAUUAACAGAUGAGCAAUCUGAGGCACAGAGGGGUUAGGUAACAAGCCCAAGGUCACACAGCUAGUGAGUGAGAGAGCUGAGAUUUGAAUCCAAGAAAAUCCACCUCAAAGCCUUAGCUAUUGAAUAGUAUGGCUUCUGGAGGGGUGUGAGUGUAUGUGCCCAUGGUUCACUGCAGCCUUUGAGCAUCCUUGCCCUGACCUGCAGGGUGGGGGUGGAGUGAUACAAGGAAGACCCUGGUCUGCGCAUUAGGACAUCCUAACAGGUGAGUGGUUAGUGCUGAAGAAAGGAGUGUCCCCAGGUAUCUGGAGGCCAGGGGACUAGAAGGUGAUAAUCAAUAAGGCAAUCAGAGGAGGCUUCCCGGAGAGGUGGCGCUUGCCACCAAAUGAGGAUGGACAAGGCAGGGCGAACAGGAGGACCAAAAUUGUAGACAUGGGAGAGGUAUAUUAGGGUUUCACCUAGGUGUCAGACUAGACAUAUUCACUGGUUCUGGUGGGUGGGAUGGAGCAGAGACUGUGAACUUGGGGAGGGGCAUGUUGGUUUCCCAGUCUGUGAUUCAAUAGGGAAUGGAGGACAUUUUCAGGGGCCUUGAGAGCCAGUGCAGGCCCAGGAGAGCUGAGAGUCACCUGUGCUGCCCUCGGGGCCAUAUUGGCAUUUUGCUUCUCUGCAAGCUACUCUGAGAUUCCAAAGUCCUGGGUUCCCGAAUUCAGCUGUGCCAGUCCCAUCCCUCCAUUUCUUCAAGCCUCAAUUUCUCCAGUUCAGAAUGGGCAUAAAGGGUGGACCUUGCAUGCCGAUUAAAGGAUGAGAUAGGGCUGUGUGGGGAUGGGCCUGACGCUCCUGGGGCAGGAAAUGGGGGAAAGGUACUGCGGGGAGGGAGAGUGGGAAGCUGGGAGAGAAGGAGGUGGUGCGAGGAGCCCUGUGUGCUUGGCCAGUGAAUCCAGGUCUGCUAAGCUGGCCCUAGCUGGGAUUCUUCCAGCACCCCAUACUGCAUUUUCCCAAGGCUGCCUGACUCUGCUGCCUCAAAGCAGUCUUCCUCCUGGGCUUCUGCAAGGAUAGUUCUGGGUUAGAUCCUGUUCCUCUGGCCAACCCAGUUGAGCCCAGCCAUGUCCCUUGGAGAGCACUCUUCAUGUUCCAAGGGCUGUUUUAAAUGCUCUUCCCUCAUACUAACUAGUUCAGUCCUCACAGCCACGCUGUGAGUUCCCUCAUUUCACAUAAGGAAACUGAGGCACAGAGAGGGUAAGCCAGGUGUUCCACAGGGUUCCACGGCAGGGAAGGCGAAGUCUAAGGGAUGGGAAUAGCCCAUGGAGCCAGGAAGGCGGGCCCAAGGGAUGGGCCUCUGAACCGCCUUCUCACCCUUUCUGUAUGGGAAAUUAUGACCAUUGUGAGUCGUCCCUCUCACACGUUUCUUUUCUGCUCAUCUCAAGGUUCUCAGGUAGCUGCAGAACCACAAUUGACAUCCCUCUGCCCAUACAGGCGCCUACAUGUCCACACACUCAACACCAUGGCUGCCCAACGUCUCAUAGGCACAAGGCUCACACUUUUGCACACACAACCAUCAAUUCAGAGCCACAAAUGCAUCUGCAGGCACCACACCCACCCUGCCGCAGAUGCACACAUAGGGCACGUGUGGGCUUUGGGCCUCAGACUGACAACCAAGCACCAACAAGUCCCAUUCCCAGAAUGACGGAUACACACCCACGCGUUCACACGGGCUCCAGUGUGCCUGACACGACAUGGUGGGGUCUGUGGACUCACAGUGCACCCCCUGGACCCAUGUCCAGGCUCCAGCCUCUGCAGAUGUCCCUUCUGCCCAGGUGCCUUCAUUCCUAUCCCUUCAAGACUACGGCUCUGGAAUGUGUGCACAGCGGAUCCGCUUCUCAUGGCAGGUCCCUGCCCUGCCGUCUUCUGUAAGAACUGGGCCUCAGGUGUGUGGUAGGGGAUUGGGGUAAAAGGUGACCCUUCCUGCAACCCUGGCAGGCUCCCUGGGCUGCAGAAGGGACAGCAGGGAGAGGAGAGUGAAUUAAUCCUGGCCUCCCUUCUUGGGUUCACUGUCAUGCUAAUUUUCUCCGCCUUUGAUCCAUCUCUCUAGCCCCAGCCCCUAACUCUGAGCAGGAGCAGGCGCUGGGUCUGGCCUGAGAUUAGGGGCUGCCUUGGUGAGGCCUGGGGCACAUCCUUCCAUGUGGCAGACUGGGGUUUCGCCCUUGGGAGGGGCUUGGGGGAUUAUAGCCCUGGUUACUGACCUGCUGUGGGCAACACACUCUCCUUCACCAGACUCAUCCUCUUUCUUCCUGACCGACCUUCUCCUCUCCAAAGGGGGCUCUGCUGUUCCCAUUUUGCACAAGAGCAGAGUGAGGCCCAGGGUUGAAAGGUCUCCGGAGGCUUCUGGCCACUGAGAGGUGGAGCCAGGCUGGGAGCACACAUCUUCCAGACUCCAACCCCGCCCUGUUUCCGUGGUGGGUCUUCGUUCUGGUGAUUUUUUUGAAACCAGCAUCUACGGCGUAUUCAUGACAUGCCAGGGACUGCGCCUUAACAUACAUUGCCUCAUGCAGUCCUCAGCAAUGCUCUUAUGAGUCCCACUUUAUAGGUGGGGAAAGAGUCCUGUGUAACUAUCUGGUGAGUGGUGAAGUCUGACCAAAUCCAGGACACAGGUGGCCAAAGUCCCCUCCCUGUAGGGGGUGACACUGAGACCCAGGCAGGGGAAGGACAUGCCCAAUCCCACACAGAGAGGGAAUUGGCUGGACAUGCAUCUCCUACCUUCCUGUAUGCUCCAUCUGGUUCCAGAAAUGACUGGACUCUUCUAUGGACCCAGUGGAGCUCAGACAAGGGUCCAGGCCCUGACACUGCCCCAGAGCAGGGGUGCCAGCACCUAUGAGGAUGCCAAGCUCAGGUCAUCGCCCUGCGGUGUCUCAGCCAACUGGGCCUCGAACAGCCCCAUAAACUUGGACAUAAACACAAUUAAAGUUUUUUAUUACAUUAUAUUUUGUACAUAUAAAAGACUAUUUGUAAGCCAUGAAACAUUACAAUGAAUGCUCAUGACUACUCUGCUGAAGAACUAGAGUAUUAGGGACACUUGUGAAGCUCCGACCUUCCCAGCCCCCUACUUCCCAGAAGGAGCCACUAUCCUAAUUGUCAUUACUCUCUGCUGUUUUUGUUUGUUUGUUUUUUAAGGAGUCUCAUUCUGUUGCCCAGGCUGGAGUGCAGUGGCGUGAUCUCGGUUCACUGAAACCUCUGCCUCCUGAGUUCAAGCGAUUCUCCUGCCUUAGCCUCCUGUGUAGUUGGGAUUACAGGUGUGCACCACCACGCCAGGCUAAUGUUUUGUAUUUUUAGUAAUGAUGAGGGUUCACCAUGUUGGCCAGGCUGGUCUCAAACUCCUGACCUCAGGUGAUCCACCCACCUCGCUUCCCAAAGUGCCGGGAUUACAGGCAUGAGCUACCACGCCCAGCCUCUCCCUGCCUCUUUUUAACAGAAAGUUUUAGCACCUGUGUGGAGACCCCUUCACUCACUGCACUUUUUUUUUUUUAAGAGGUGGGAUCUCACUCUGUCACCUACACCCGAGUGCAGUGAUGUGAUCCUGGCUCAUUAUAGCCUUGAUCUCCUGGCUCAAGCGAUCCUCCCACCUCAGCCUCCCAAAUAGCUGGGACUGCAGGUGCAUGCCACCAUGCCCAGCUAAUUUUUUUUUAAUUUUUAUGCAAAGACAGGGUCUUGCUAUGUUGCCCAGGCUGGCCUCAAACUCCUGGCCUCAAACAGUGCUCCCGUCUCAGCCUCCCAAAGUGCUGGCAUUACAAGUGUGAGCCACCACAUCCAGCUGCUAACUGCACUUUUGAGAUGUUGCAUUCUAUUCUGCACUCCCAAUUAUUCAUUCCCAGGGGAAGUGCAUUAUUUAAAGGGAUAGAGAGAGAACUUGGAGGAGCCACUUGCACCCCAUGUGCCUCUUCGCUUCAGUGCUGUGAGUGCUCUGUUUGGCCCCCUCAUUCCAGUGAGUGCCCUGAAACAGGACAUUUCUUCCUGGUACGGCCAGUAGAAGGAGGGUGGGGGCCUUCCGGCAGCUGGGCAUUCUCUGAACAUGGCAUGCUGCCUUGCAUUUGCGUAAGCCAUUCCUCCACCUGGAAUUCCCUUCGCUAGACUGUUGUGGGAACCCAGUUCCUUCUUCCAGGUCCAACUCCAAGGUUUCGUUCUGGAGAUGCCUUCCCUGUGACCCCUUGCCCCUCUCCCCCAGCAGAGCUGGAUCUGUCCUCUUCUCCCCUGACAGAGUUUUGGGCAUCCUUCUAUCAGCCCUUAUCCCAGGGCAGGAAGAACAGCCUUGAUCCUGGAUCCCAGGCACAGCUGGGUGUCAGACCUGGAGGAGAAGCUCCCAGAGUGACCAAGAUAGAAUCGGCAUGCAGCUGAAGCCACUUGCUCAGAGCCGCACAGCAAGCCCACCACCCUGAACCUCCAGAUUACCAACUCAGCAUUGUGUCCUGACAGUGUCAUCAUAGAUGGUCAACACCGUCACCUGGGCAGCACUGAAGCCCAGAGCGGGAGAGACUGGCUCAAGACCAUGGGUAAGUCAGCAGCAAAGCUGGGGAAAGGAAACCACCAACCUGAGAGCCCCUGGCUGGUUCCCAAAUCCAGGCCCUUACUUCUCUUCCCCACCAUCCAGGGUGGGGGGCAGACACCCAGUGAAAUGGCCUGCCCCAAAGGAGGGGAGCCUUGCCGAGCCACCCCAGGCCACCUCAGACCCACACCCCCAGCUCAGCGGUUGGAGGGGCUGAGGAGGGGCUGAGCCGCCACCCCCUCCCCACCCCAGUGCCAGGGCCCCAGCCUUGCAGCGCUUGUCCCCAGCCCAGAUGAGCAGGGCGCCCUUAUCAGAUCUCCGUUUCUGUUUCUCUCCUCUGGCUGCUUCUGCCUGGCCCUGCCCCCAACCCCGGUGGCCUUUUCCUCUCUGAAGUGAUGUUCCUUUUCCUGUCACCAACACACACAGCACACAGAGAAGUUUGUUUCUGUUGCUUUAAAAAAGUUUCCUUCUGGGGAGGAGGGCAAGGGGUUGUUUACUGGGCCUGCAAAGCCUCACCGUGGGUGUGGGCAUGGGUGUGGCAUGGGUGUGGGUGGCAACUGGGUCCCUGCUGGAUUUGGGGUUGGUGGAGGCUGCACCCACGACCCUGGGCCUCUGGAUCCUGUGCAAAAGCCAGGAACGUGGAAGGAAAACCUCCUGUGCACCCUGCUCAGGGCUGGGCUGGUUCACCCACCGUCCAGCCACACUCCUGCAGAAACCUGGGAGGUCAGGGGUUUUGUUUUCCAUUUUCCACAGGAGACAGCUGAGGCUCGGCCAAGGUUGCCAGGGUCCAAGCCUAUGGAUUUGUGGUCUGGGCUCUGCCAGUGGCAUGGCACUGUCUUCAAAGCUCCCACCCUACCAUUUUUCUUACCCACACAGGGCAGGCUCGACCCAGCUAAGGAACACAGCUUCCUGAAGCAUCUGUCCUGGGCCGUUGGCCCUUCUGUGGACAGGGCUUGAGCUCUGUAGGCUGGAUUUGAAUUUCAAGUCCUCCUGCUGUGUGACCUUGAACAAGUUACUUAGCCUCUCUGAGCAUCAAAUGGCUUAACUAUCAAAUAAGAAGCACAGAGAAGUCCCCAAGAGCCAGUAGACUCUGGAGGCUGUGAGACCGGGGACUGGGGCUCCUGCAUCCUUAAUGAAGGUUUCAGUCUUGAGUCGCGUCUGGGAGACCUGCUGAAGCAAUGGGGAGCUACUGUAGGUGGGUAAACAAGGGAGAGUGUGAUGGAGGCCAUGUUCUAAAAGGAUUCUAUAGGCAGCAGAAGGGAGGAGGGCUCAGGGGAGAGGUGGAGGAGCUGCAGGGGAGAGGUGGAGGCUGGGAGGCCAACAAAGGAGGCUUUGACUUCCUUUUCAGAAAAAUAAGGCCACCCACCUCCCACCAGGAGCAAGAGUCAUGGAGGGAGACUGUCUCAGCUGGCCUGGCCUGGCUCCUGCCCAGGACAGAGAUCCCGGCCCCUGGACUCCUCCAGCAGCCCAGUGUAGGGGAGGAGUGCCUUCCUCCCCAUGCCCAGGGUAGCCCCUUGUCUGAGAGUGGUGGUUGUGGCAGGCCCUGCUGAGAACUGCAGUUUCAUUUCCCACUGACCUCCACCCACUGGACUCUCCCAGGCUCUUGUUUCAAGCUGCCUAGUGCUAACCCCAGCCCUUGAGCCAGCUCGCUCCAGCCUUUACCUCAGACCAGGGCACUGGGGCUGUGUGUAGGACUCACACCUCCCAGGUCUGUCUCUUACCUUGGGACCCUUAGGGCAGGAACACGGGAGGGGGGCUCUGAUGUAUGAUGUCAGGGAACUCCGAGGGCCACCUCCUCCUCUGACAAAAGCACCUUCUUUGUCAAGUGAGUAAUUCCUCUGACACAUGUCGCUCUGACAUGGCACAGGUCUUCUUAAAGAUGAACGUCCUCCAUGACCUGUGUGGGUUUCCUGGGAAUAACCCACAGUAGUGGUCAAGGAGGCCAGGAAAGAAGAACUUCUACUGUUUCCCCCUUUUCCAAAUUUGUUGGAUGGAGAUAUAGAGGGUGGGGCCACCUUAUUCUUCAAAAGGAUUUUUAACAGCAGGGAAAAGGAAGGGUUGAGUCUCACAGUCCACACUGCAGCCACCAUAACCAUUUCCCAGACAAGUAAACUAAGGCCCAGGGCGAGAUCCCAGGCUUCCUUACUCAACUUCCAGCCAGGGCAGAGUCUCUCGAACGAAAGAAGGGACGCUGCUGCAUGGCUCACGUGCUCAGCCCUGGUAAUAGAAAUACGUCUCCAGUGAGAUCUAAUUGUAACUCUCAUUGGGACCUGCGUCACCUACAAGGCUGGCAGCCAGACACCCUGAGAAUGCACCAGCUUUACUCUUUUUUUUUUUUUUUUUUUUGAGAUGAAGUCUUGCUCUGCUGUACAGUCUAGAGUGCAGUGGCAUGAUCUCGGCUCGCCACACCCUCUGCCUUCCAGAUUCAGGCAAUCUCCUGCCUCAGCCUCCCUAUUAUAUGGGAUUACAGGCAUGCAUCACCACAGCCUGGCUGAUUUGUGUGUGUGCGUGUGUGGUAUUUUUAGUAGAGAUGGGGGUUUCACGAUGUUAACCAGUCUGGUCUCAAACUCCUGAGCUCAAGUGAUCUGCCCACCUCGACCUCCCAAAGUGCUGGGAUCACAGGGGUCAGCCACUGCACCUGGCCUACGAGCUUUACUCUUUCCCUGGGUGAUAGGGUGAUGGCAGUCUCUGGGGCAGGGGGAGGAGUGCUGUGCCACAUGCCCUGGGCACCUGCUUUGCUGCAUGUCCUUCUCCAAGGCUCUGAUCCUCUCUGGGCCUCUUUAUUUCUUGCAGUGCCUGCCUCAUGGGAUUGCAGGGACCAAAGGAUUUGGGUGCCGGCAAUUGGAGGGCCGUUCUGUGGGCCAGCAUUGGGCAGGCGCCUCCCACAUGGUUCUCUUUUUGUCCUCCCAGUAGCCCUGUGCAUCAGACGCAGAGCUGUGCUGCAUGCACCCACUUGCCCCACUCGCCUCAGAGGAGCGUUCCUUGCAGGAGGAAUUUGAUAGAUUUUAAUACCAGGGUCCCCUGCUGACCAGGCUUUGCAUUUCCUUACCUACCCUCGGCUCUAACUUUGGCCUGGCGAAGCAGGGCACCACAGGACAUCAGGGUCACACAUCUCAGACCACAAGAGCCUCAGCAGUCUCCAAGACAAAGUAGAGAUUGAAGGCCCUGCUUCUCCUUCCAGAGUACUGAGGAGCCUCCUGCCUUCCUGAGUGAGGCUGGGGGAUCAAAGCUCAACAAUAGUGGGUUGUCAGAAUUACGUUUCUAGAAAGGAAAAUCAAGACUGAUUUUUAUGGGGAGUAUAGCAUUAUGCUCCAGUAAUAGUACUAUUAGCUCCAUUGCACAGAGGAGGAAAUUGAGGCUUAGAGAAUUUCUGAUUGUCUAAAGACAUCUUUCCUGGAACUGGUGGAUCAGGGACAAGAACCCUGAUUUGUUGAUGUCAAAGCGUGUGUAGUUUUUCCUUUUUUAUAUCUUCUGGAUCAGCAAGACCACCGCAUUUGGGGAACAGAAGGCACAAUGGGGGGAGUGGCACAGCUGCAACGUGAAGGGCUCCAUGUGGGGCCUUGGAGACACCAAGCUGCCCUCCUCCUGGUCCGAGCUGCCCACUUCCCAUCCCUCAUCCCUCCUCCUUCAGCUUAGGGCCAGCUGCACCUGGCUCCAGGCCCUCCACUCAGUGUGGAGAAGUCCUGGCCCUCCUCACCACCUUCCCACAGCCCCUGCUCAGCUGCAGAGCCUGCCGUGGGCCUUCUAAAGCUGUGUACUGCUCCCAAAGGUGGCAGCAGGCAGAGCCAGGCCUUGCUGGGGGCUCCUUCACCCCUUGGAGUCUGGGCCUCAGAGUGACGUCCCAGGCUGAGGCUCAUUGGGAGGGGUCAGCAUUGGCAUCAGGAGACUGGGGUCAAGUCUGAGUUCUGACAGUGACUGUGUGACCUUGGACAGUCACUUGCCCUCGCUGGGCCUUGGUUUUCCUGUUGUGAAGUCAUAUGGUCCUGGGAUGUGGGCAAGGGUAGAGAAAUGAGACACUUCAGCUCCCCACUCACAAGCCGUGCCCCCUCAGGCCCACCACUUAGGUUUUCUUAGCCCCUCCAUUUUCCCCGGCAUAAAAUGGGGAUAAUGAAGCCCAUUCCUUCUGAUCGUUAAGGAAACCAGCAUUUACUGAAGGCUCGGCCCCGUGCAAGAUGCUCUCUGAAGCAUUUUCUCUCAUGGACUCCCAUCCAUCCAACAAUGAAAUGAAAUGUCUUGCUUUUGGUCUUUCAUACAAUGUCUCUUUGCAGCCUCUCCUGGUCUGACAGUCUCAGAUGCAGUCAUGGAUGGCUUUCUGGAGGAGGUGGUACCUGGUCUGUGGGAAGUAGGGGUCAGCAUCCUGGUCUCUGGGAGCAUCUGCUCCAGAUGGUUUCCCUGGGGCCCCCAGAAGCAGGUGUUUGCGCUAACAGCUCUGCAAGCAGAGAGCUUCAGUGCAUGGCCCUUCUUGCCCUUGUUCCCAGGCACAUGCUGUUCCCCUGGGGCUGAAUACCCCACUUACUUGUAAAUCCCAGUGCUCUCCUGUUCAUUCUGCAGUGCCAGCACAAGUCUCCUCCUUGGGGAAGGCUUUCUGGACUUCCCAGCCCACUGGCCAUUGUUCCGUCUUGCAGGUGCCCCCUCAGGGUGCCUGCUGUAACCGUCACUCACAUAUCUCCCCCACCCAACAGAGGGCCUUGCUUUUGGUCCUGGACCUGCACCUUUGACUGUAUUCUUAGUGAUUUGUCCAAGCCCACCCUGGGAGAUAGGGGCGGUGCCAGGCUAGCACCCAGUUCUCCUGGGUUCUCUGAGAAAGUUCCUACCUUCUUCCCUGGCUCACAAGUAGUACUUAAGCAGUUUUGGUUGUUAAAGAAAAUACUGAAUUUAUUCUUCCAACCACUCAUAUAUAUAUAUAAAUCAGUGUUAUUGAGAAACAAUUUACAAAAUGCACCCAUUUUCACUGUACAGUUCAGUGAAUUUUAACAGGUGUGUACAGUGGUGUAAACACUGCCACACCCAAGAUAUCACACAUUUCCAUCACCCCUCAAAAUCUCCUCAUACCCCUUCCUGAUCAAUCCCUCUUCCUGCCUCAGGCAACAUUUGAUUUGAUUUUAUCAAUAUCGAUUAGUUUUGCAUGUUCUAGAAUGUCCUAUAAAUUGUGAUUAGGCAGUAUGUACUUUCUGUGUAGUGCCAUGCAUGUUGUAUCUUGCAUGAGUAGUUCGGCCCUUUGCAUUGCUGGGUAGUAUUCUGGAGAAUGGACAUUCCACAAUUUGUUUAUCUGUUCACCAAUUGAUAGAAUUUGGGUUAUUUCCAGUUUGGGGAUUUUAUGAAUAAAGCUGCUAUGAACAUUCAUGUGAACAUGUUUUCAUUUACCUUGGGCUAAUGCCUGGAACUGGUAUUGUUGUAUUGUCAGGGUAAGUAUAUGUUUUACUAUAUAAGAAAUUGCCAAAUUCUUUUCCAAAGUGUUUGCACCAUUUUAGCCACCAGGAGUGUAUAAGAGUUCCAUUUGUUCCAUAUCUUGUCAACACUUGGUAUCAUCGGUCUUUGAGCAAUUCUAGUGAGUAUGUAAUGGCAACUGUUGCUUUAAUUUGCAAUUCCACGACAACUAGUAAUGUUGAAAAUGUUGAUCAUCUGGUUAUGUGCAUAUGCCUUUUUUGGCAAAGCACCUGUUUGAAUCUUUUGCCUAGUUUUACUGGUUGUUUGUCUUCUUAUUGAGUUCUAAGAAUUCUUCAUAUGAAUUCUUGACACAAGUGCUUUGUCAGAUAUCUGUGUUGCAAAAUAUUUUCCCAGUUGGUAUCUUGCCUUUUCAUUUUCCUAAUUGUAUCUUUUGAAGAGUAAAAGUCUGAUUGAUCAGUUUUUGCUUGUCUAGUUAGUGCUUGACAUGACUUGUUUAAGGAAACUUUGCCUGCCAACAAGGCUGCAGAUAUUUUCUCUGCAGUUUUCUUCUAGAUGUUUUAUAGUUUUAGCUUUUGUGUUCAGAUAUAUCGUCUGUUUUGAGUUCCUUUUUAUGAAUGAUGUGAGGUGGAAUUGAGGUCCAUAUAGAUAUCCAUUUGCUUUCUCUAUCAUAUUUGUUACUGUUUUCUGUUAUUGCCCUUGUUUUUCAUUCUUGGUUUUGCUUUCCACUCUUUUUCUGCUGUUUGUGGUUUUAAUCAGGCAUUUUAUAUGAUUCUAUGUUAUCUUCUUUCUUAGCAUAUCAUUAUACUUUUUUUUUUUCUUUUCUUAGUGGUUGCCCUGGAGUUUGCAAUAUACAUUUACAGCUAAUCCAAUUCCAUUUUCAAAUAACACUGCACUGUUUCAUGGGCAAUGCAUGUACCUUGUAAUAACAAAGUAUUCCUUCCCCUCUCUCUCUUCCCUUGUAACAUUGCUGUCUUUCAUUUUACCAACCCAUAAACUAUAAUCAUUGAAUACAUUGUUGCUGUUAUUUUGAACAAACUGUUAUCUGUUGUAUCAAUUAAGAAAAAGUUGCUUUUUUUUUUUACCUCCAUUUAUCCUUCUAUGCAUUCUUUCUUUAUGUAGAUCUGAGUGUCUGACCUGUAUCAUUUUCCUUCUCUCUAAAGAACUUAUUUUAACAUUUUCUGCAAGGCAUGUAUACUGGCAACAAAUUCACUCAAAUUUUGCUUGUCUGAGAAAGUAUUUACUUUUGAAAGAUAAUUUGGCAGCAUAUAGAAUUCUAGGUUGAUGGGUUUUUUGGUUUGUUUAUUUUGUUUCUCUCUCAACAGUUUAAAUAUUUCAAUCUACUCUGUUUUUUUUGUGUGUGUGAAUGGUUUCUGAGAAGUCUGGUGUAAUUCUUACCUUCUUUGCUCUUCAAUAGAUAAGAGUUUUGUUUUUUUUUUCUUCUGCCUUCUUUCAAAAUUUUUCUUUAUCUUUGAUUUUCUGCAGUUUGAAUAGACAGUCCUAGGUGUGGAUUUUUUGGAAUUUAUCCUACUCACUGUUCUCUGUGCUUCCUGGAUCUGUGGUUUGGUAUCUGACUUUAAUUUUGGGAAAUUGUCAGUCAUUAUUACUUCAAAUAUUUCUUCUGUUCCUUUCUUUCUUCUUCUUUUGACAUUACUAUUAUACACAUAUUAUACCUUUUGUAGUCCUGCUUGGAUAUUCUGUUCAAUUGCUUUCAGCCUUUUUUGCUCUUUGCUUUCUAGUUUUGAAAGUUCUAUUGUCAUAUCCUCAAACUUACAAAUUCUUUCCUCUGCUGUGUCCAGUCUGCUAAUGAGCCUAUCAAAGGCAUUCUUAAUUUCUGUUACAAUGUUUUUAAUUCCUAGCAUUUCUUUUUGAUUCUUUAUUAGAAUUUGUAUCUCUCUGCUUAUAUCACCCAUCUGUUGUUACACGUUGUCUACUUUUUCCCUUAGAGACCUUAGCAUAUUAAUCAUACUUCAUACUUGCUUUAAAGUUCUGGUCUGAUAAUUCCAAUAUCCCUGUCGUAUUUGUGUCUAGGUCUGGUGCUUGUUAUGCCUUUGCUGUAUUUUUUUCCUUUUUGUGUGCCUUAUAAAUUGUUGUUGAAGCUAGAUCUGAUGUACCAGGUAAAAGUAAUCUGGUACUAGUUCCCACAGAGGGUUCUACUGAUGGGUUUCUGCUCUGAUAAGUUGUAAUUCUCUGUUUUCACUUGUCUAUCUCUCCAGUUUUGGAGGCAUUAGUUUGCCCCAUGGCCUCAAUUCUCUGAUGAAUCUAAGAAGAGUUGUUGGUUUUCAGUUUGUUUAGCUGUUUUCUUAUUGUGAGGAUGACAGCGAUGAUUCCCAAGCUCCUUACAUGCUGGAAUAGAAACUGGAAGUCUGGUAUUUUUUUGUUUUCAUGUCUUUUCUUACAAAUAUAAUUCUUUGCCCACUGAAUAACCUUAUCACUUUUGUAAAAAAUCAGUUGCAUAGUCCCGCUACUUGGGGACUUUCUUCUGUUCCAUUGAUCCAUAUAUCUUUCCUUAUACCAAUACCAUACUCUAUUGACUACUGUAGCUGUGUAGUAAAUCCUGAAAUCAAGAAGCAUAAGUUCUCCAAAUAUGUUAUUUUUUAAAAAGUGUUUUGGGUAUUCUAGGAAGUCCUUUUCAUUUUCAUAUAAAUUUUAGGAUCAGUUUGUUGAUGUCUGUUUUUUAAAAGAGUCUGCUGAGAUUUUUCAUUGGUUUGUAGUCUUCUUAUAUUGUGUUUGCCUGGUGUUAUUAAGCACAGUACUGCUGAGCUUGUGAAACAACUUGGGAAGUAUUCCAUCCUCUAUGGU